rnacentral:rRNA from 1 species
AUAUUGGAACGUACCGAGUAAUGGGGGAUAACUAUCCGAAAGGAUAGCUAAUACCGCAUACGCUUUGAGAAGGAAAGCAGGGGAUCUUCGGACCUUGCGUUAUUCGAGCGGCCAAUAACUGAUUAGCUAGUUGGUGGGGUAAGGGCCCACCAAGGCGACGAUCAGUAGUGGGUCUGAGAGGAUGAUCCGCCACACUGGGACUGAGACACGGCCCAGACUCCUACGGGAGGCAGCAGUGGGGAAUUUUGGACAAUGGGCGAAAGCCUGAUCCAGCCAUGCCGCGUGUCUGAAGAAGGCCUUCGGGUUGUAAAGGACUUUUGUUAGGGAAGAAAAGGUUGAUGCUAAUAUCAUUAACUGAUGACGGUACCUAAAGAAUAAGCACCGGCUAACUACGUGCCAGCAGCCGCGGUAAUACGUCUGUCUC